rnacentral:rRNA from 1 species
AGAGUUUGAUCCUGGCUCAGAAUGAACGCUGGCGGCAUGGAAUAGGCAUGCAAGUCGAACGCGUCAGGGGCAACUCUGACGAGUGGCGAAAGGGUGUAUAACACGUGAGCAACCUGCCUCCGGGUUGGGGACAACCCCGGGAAACUGGGGCUAAUACCUGAUGUGGUCCGCGGCUGUUAUGGCGGCGGCACUAAAGGCUUCGGUCGCCCGGAGAGGGGCUCGCGUCCCAUUAGCUAGUUGGCGGGGUAACGGCCCACCAAGGCGAUGACGGGUAGCUGGUCUGAGAGGAUGGUCAGCCACACUGGGACUGAGACACUGCCCAGACUCCUACGGGAGGCUGCAGUCGAGGAUCUUCCGCAAUGGGCGCAAGCCUGACGGAGCAAUGCCGCGUGAGGGAUGAAGGCCUUCGGGUUGUAAACCUCUGUCACCCGGGACGGAGAAUGUGACGGUACCGGGAGAGGAAGCACCGGCUAACUACGUGCCAGCAGCCGCGGUAAUACGUAGGGUGCGAGCGUUAUUCGGAUUUACUGGGCGUAAAGGGUCCGCAGGGGGUCUGCCAAGUCUGGUGUGAAAGCCCACGGCCCAACUGUGGAACGGCACUGGAUACUGGCGGACUAGAGUGCACGAUGGGAGAACGGAAUUCCUGGUGUAGCGGUGGAAUGCGUAGAUAUCAGGAGGAACACCGAUGGCGUAGGCGGUUCUCUGGCGUGUUACUGACCCUCAUGGACGAAAGCGUGGGUAGCAAACAGGAUUAGAUACCCUGGUAGUCCACGCUGUAAACGGUGCGCACUGGAUGUGGGCAGACUUUGGUGCUGUCCGUGUCUCAGCUAACGCGUUAAGUGCGCCGCCUGGGGACUACGGCCGCAAGGCUAAAACUCAAAGGAAUUGACGGGGGCCCGCACAAGCGGUGGAGCAUGUGGCUCAAUUCGAGGCAACGCGAAGAACCUUACCUGGGCUUGACAUGUACUUGACCAGCCUAUGAAAGUAGGCCUUUCCCGCAAGGGAACAGGUACACAGGUGCUGCAUGGCUGUCGUCAGCUCGUGUCGUGAGAUGUUCGGUUAAGUCCGGCAACGAGCGCAACCCGUGUCACCAGUUGCCAACGGGUAAAGCCGGGGACUCUGGUGAGACUGCCCGUGUCAAGCGGGAGGAAGGCGCGGAUGACGUCAAGUCAGUAUGGCCCUUACGUCCAGGGCUGCACACGUGCUACAAUGGACGGUACAGAGGGAAGCAAGGCCGCGAGGCGGAGCAAAUCCCCAAAACCGUCCCCAGUUCAGAUUGAAGUCUGCAACUCGACUUCAUGAAGCCGGAAUCGCUAGUAAAGGCGUAUCAGCAACGGCGCCUUGAAUACGUUCCCGGGCCUUGUACACACCGCCCGUCACAUCAUGGAAGCCAGCUGCACCCAAAGUUCCACGGUCUUCGUGGACCAAAGGUGUGCCUGGUGACUGGGAUGAAGUCGUAACAAGGUAACCGUAGGGGA